AAAAUCAGUUUAAAAUGUUAGUUCCUAUGGCUGUAUGAUGUAUUUAUAUGAAUUUAAAGCAAAGGUCAAAAUCUAGAACGUCAUAUUAACCUAUGACCUUGACCUCAAUUUCAAGUUCACAAACCAAGGACCUUAAAUCAAAAGACCCAAGGUCUUUAAUAUGUUUGGUUUAUUAGUAAUAUCACUUUACGCGUAAUUCUAAAUGUAAGAUGGGCAAAAACUCCUAUUUAUUGCCUGCGCACCCUUUCAAUCAAAAUAUACAAGUAAGGACAUGUCGCAACUAACAAUUUAUGAAAAAUUAUUUGUCGAUAUGUCAUAAGGUAUUUGAAAAUAAAUGAAAAUAAGCCAAAAUCAAAAUUUAGAAUAUGACCUUGACCUUUGACCUUGACCUCAUUUUUAUUAUUUUGGACCAAGGACCCCAAAUCUAAAAGACCCUAUGUCUUUAUAUCACUUAUGGUUUACCAUUUAGAAAUGCAUAUCACUUAAUUUAAGGGAAAAGGGGGAAUAACUCUCAUAUGGAGUCUCCGUAAAGCUUCGGUCCAAAUGAAUAUCCUAAUCCUGAAGAUGUAACGAGCAAUUUGGUAAAAUAAAUUUGUCGUAAUCUUUAACGGUUGCGAAGGAGUAGUGGCCACAAGAAAAACAGUGUUUGGGGAGAUAACUCUUACAACGUAAAGUAUUUUGUUACACAGUUGUAAAUUUUUAAAGCGUAUAAACUAUACGAUACCAUAUUCCAAAUAUCUAAGCGACAUCUUUUGAAACAUCAAUAAUACGCAAGAAAAAAAAUUAGGCGGAAGAAAAAAAAAAAAAAAAUAAUAAUAAUAAUAAUCAGAACAAAUUCAAUAGGUCUUUCCACGGAAAGGUGGAAAGACCUAAUAAAAUGUAAAGUU
rnacentral:lncRNA from 1 species